rnacentral:rRNA from 1 species
UACAGGGGGUGCAAACGUUGCUCGGAAUCAUUGGGCGUAAAGCGCACGUAGGCGGUUCGUUAUGUCGGAUGUGAAAGCCCUUGGCUUAACCGAGGAAGUGCAUCCGAAACUGGCGAGCUAGAGUACUAAAGAGGAUCGCGGAAUUUCCCGGUGUAGAGGUGAAAUUCGUAGAUAUCGGGAGGAACACCGGUGGCGAAGGCGGCGAUCUGGGUAGAUACUGACGCUGAGGUGCGAAAAGCGUGGGGGAGCAAACAGGG